UGGGACAAUCGGACUCAAUCUGGGAUACGUUAUUCAACGUACGAGUUGCAUACCAACAAGGGUCGUGACAUUUAGAACACCUUUUGCGAGGAUUAUCUGAUGAAAACUAAAAAAUUUUAAUGCGUUCAAAAAGAUUGGUGCAAAUGGUUCAGCAGGUGGUCGGAAUUCUUCUAAAGAAUAUGGAGAAUUCGUACAAUGAAUACAAACUGCUUGGCGAAAAGCACGAAGAUGUCACGAGUGUCGUUCCGUGACUUAAGAUUAUAAAGGAAGUUGCGACGGUGAAAUCUCCGGCUCCGGAACUGGCUGUGAAGGUAUGGCUGGAACAUUUAACGUACCUGCGUAGACAUGCUUCCUUGCCUUAUGAGUAGGAAAAAAACAGCCCAAUACCGUGAAGUGUUUAUAUUUUAUUUAAAUUAUAUCGCUGACUCGUUAAUAAAUAAUGGUAUAAUUAUUA